UCUAUCAACUUUGUUGCAACAAUCCUAACUCCAAUUUGCCUGCAAUUAGGGAAAAGUGUAGUCAGCACAAGAUAUGUUGAAUUUGUGUUUUUGGUACAAAAAUGUGGCCAAGAAGUAUUGCUCUCCCUCAAUACCUUCAGAAUAUUUUCAGAAUUGAGGAAAGAUACAGUUGAAUUGCCGGUUCUCAAGAGAGAAGGCCACUCUUCUCUUAUCAUUGUAUAUGUAGUUACCGUUUUUCCCACCUUGAUUAGAAGAGUUCUUGUUGUAUCUGCUUUUCAUUUGAUGUGGCAUGUUGUUUUUGCCUUCAUUUUUUUCAAUACAUAUAUGUAAUAUACAUAAAUAUAAAUUUAUUUGUAUUAGAAUCCAUUUUCCAUUUCAUCUUUAUAUGAUUUUCAAUAAUUAUUGACAUUCGAUUUUAAUAAAUAGUUAUCUAUCUUUGAUUAUUCA